AUUCUGGGUGGACGUGAAGAAUUGAUACAUGCAGCACAACCCUAAACAAAAAGGAGAUUGGGAGUGUGGAUUUUUUGUGAUGCUAUAUAUGAAGCACAUUAUAGAAAGUUAUGACACUUCAAUGAGGAACCCUAAGGAGAUGUUUAAGUCGGGGAUGAACUAUGGUACGACAGAAAUUGAUGAAAUCAAAAGGGAGUGGAUGGAUUAUAUUUCACCAAUUCUUGAGAAGUAUGAGAAAACAAUUUGAUGUUUUUUCACCAAUUCUUAAGAAGUAUUGAGAAAAAAAUUGUUGUUUAGUUUGAAUUAAUUAAUUUAAUGACGUUUUAAAUACUGUCUUCCCUAGCUCCUUAUUUUAGUUUGAACUUUAAAGGAUUGGUGCAGCUAUGAUGCAAAUGGUGUUCCUAAGUCUUAACUGUCUGAUAUUGUGUUCAUUUUUCUUCUCUCUUCUUUUUGUUUUAAUUUUAAUCUAAAUUUAUAAUGCAAA